rnacentral:rRNA from 1 species
AGUGGCGGACGGGUGAGUAACACGUAAGAAUUUGCCUUUAGGAGGGGGACAACAACUGGAAACGGUUGCUAAUACCCCAUAUGCUUUCGAGUGAAAUGGAUUUCCGCCUAAAGAGAAGCUUGCGGCUGAUUAGCUUGUUGGUAGGGUAAUGGCCUACCAAGGCGACGAUCAGUAUCUGGUUUGAGAGGACGAUCAGACACACUGGAACUGAGACACGGUCCAGACUCCUACGGGAGGCAGCAGUAGGGAAUUUUCCGCAAUGGGCGAAAGCCUGACGGAGCAAUACCGCGUGAGGGAUGACUGCCUAUGGGUUGUAAACCUCUUUUUUCAGGAGGAAUAAAUGACGUGUACCUGAAGAAUAAGCAUCGGCUAACUCCGUGCCAGCAGCCGCGGUAAGACGGAGGAUGCAAGUGUUAUCCGGAAUCACUGGGCGUAAAGCGUCUGUAGGUGGCUCGGCAAGUCAACUGUUAAAUCUUGAAGCUCAACUUCAAAAUCGCAGUCGAAACUAUCGAACUAGAGUAUAGUAGAGGUAAAGGGAAUUUCCAGUGGAGCGGUGAAAUGCGUAGAGAUUGGAAAGAACACCGAUGGCGAAGGCACUUUACUGGGCUAUUACUGACACUCAGAGACGAAAGCUAGGGUAGCAAAUGGGAUUAGAUACCCCAGUAGUCCUAGCUGUAAACAAUGGAUACUAGGUGUUGAA